ACACUCAGCAUGCACAUGGAGGCU
rnacentral:miRNA from 1 species